CAGAAUAUAGCUCAACAAGAACAGCAUCUCUUUUACACCGAGAAGAUAUCCGUGCAAGUCGGAUUAUUCUGA
rnacentral:tRNA from 1 species